rnacentral:rRNA from 1 species
GAUGAACGCUGGCGGCGUGCUUAACACAUGCAAGUCGAACGGAGUGCCUUUGAAAGAGGAUUCGUCCAAUUGAUAAGGUUACUUAGUGGCGGACGGGUGAGUAACGCGUGAGGAACCUGCCUUGGAGUGGGGAAUAACACAGUGAAAAUUGUGCUAAUACCGCAUAAUGCAGUUGGGCCGCAUGGCUCUGACUGCCAAAGAUUUAUCGCUCUGAGAUGGCCUCGCGUCUGAUUAGCUAGUUGGUGGGGUAACGGCCCACCAAGGCGACGAUCGGUAGCCGGACUGAGAGGUUGAACGGCCACAUUGGGACUGAGACACGGCCCAG